GUCCUUCCUGCUGCCAUAGUUAUGAUCAGCAAAUUGUUGACUCCUCCUCUUUUUGUUGUUUACGAGGAAACUUCGAGAUCGGUGAAUGCGUGAGAAGUCAGUACUAGCAGUACAAGCAGUCUCAGCAGUCGAGGCAGUUCUGCCAGUCCGGUCAGUCCGGGCGGUCCUGUCAGAGCAUUAGGGCAGGGAGCUAUCCUGUAGGACCCACCACAUACCCGUAUGCCAUUGAGCCCGUCUUCCAUCGUCAGAGUGAGUCUGUCUUCCUGGAGGAUGUCUUGGACGAGGCUCUGAGAAUGUUAUUAAGAAUCAAGGGUCCCUCAAGAGGCAUUUGUGAAGUAUUCCCUUGGUUCCAUAAUUUGGAACGGCGUAAUUGGUGGCCACCUGGAUGUGCUCUGCCUCCUACGACUGAUUUGUUCAUCAUCGUCUCGACUUUGAUUCACCUUAGUGGAUGAUUUGUGGAGAAAAGUCACGUUCUCCUAAGCAUUGACUUCAAUCCCUUCUUGCUCGGAUGGACUACGGAUAGGAUUAUCCAGCCUUGAUUUGGUUGUCAUACUUGGUUUUUCUUGUCUUGACCUACUUACAGUAAGGUAUGGAGGAGAAGCUGAUUAUUGAAGAGGAAGAGCCCUGUGUCAUGCACUUGACACAUUUGCAAU